AUGGCGGCCGGGCUGGGGCCGGGGCUGCUGGCCUUGGCCUUGGCCUUGUGGCCGGCAGGGCUCUGGGCACAGUUGAGGCUGCAGGAGGCCGGCGGAGGGCUGCGAGCGCCCGGCGACUCCGUGACCCUCUCCUGCCGCGGGUCCGGAUUCACCUUCCAGGAUUAUUGGAUUUACUGGUACCGUCAGGCACCCGGGGGCCGGCUGGAGUGGGUGUCCUUUAUCAGCUACCAGCAAGGCAAUAUAAUGGAGUACGGGCCAGCAUUGAAGGGUCGGGCCACGAUCUCCCGGGACAAUUCCCGGUCCGAGGCUUCUCUCUCAUUGUGGUCCCUGCAAGCUCAGGACUCUGCCCGGUACUUCUGUGCCAUCACACGGGGACAGGAAACCCAGCUGAGCUUUAACACAAACCUUCUGGGGUCUGCCUCAGCACCCACAAAAUUUGGAGAUGGUGAAUUCCAAAGUGGUUCAGGGCUUUUCCUAAGAUAUCAGGGACUACCCCCGUGCAGCACACAUCAUCCUGGCCUUUCAUCAAGAGCUCCUUUCCCAACACUGAGGCUUUCCUUCUCCUGAGUCCCAGUUGCAAUGUCCUAUUCUGUACU